GAUGAACGCUGGCGGCGUGCCUAAUACAUGCAAGUCGAGCGAACAGACGAGGAGCUUGCUCCUCUGACGUUAGCGGCGGACGGGUGAGUAACACGUGGAUAACCUACCUAUAAGACUGGGAUAACUUCGGGAAACCGGAGCUAAUACCGGAUAAUAUAUUGAACCGCAUGGUUCAAUAGUGAAAGACGGUUUUGCUGUCACUUAUAGAUGGAUCCGCGCCGCAUUAGCUAGUUGGUAAGGUAACGGCUUACCAAGGCAACGAUGCGUAGCCGACCUGAGAGGGUGAUCGGCCACACUGGAACUGGGACACGGUCCAGACUCCAACGGGAGGCAGCAGUAGGGAAUCUUCCGCAAUGGGCGAAAGCUUGACGGAGCAACGCCGCGUGAGUGAUGAAGGUCUUCGGAUCGUAAAACUCUGUUAUUAGGGAAGAACAAAUGUGUAAGUAACUAUGCACGUCUUGACGGUACCUAAUCAGAAAGCCACGGCUAACUACGUG
rnacentral:rRNA from 1 species